rnacentral:lncRNA from 1 species
UGCAAAGACCCUAUUUCCAAAUAAGGUCACAUUCCACAGGUACAUGGAAUUAGGACUUUAAUAUAUCUUUUGGGAGGACACAGUUCAACCAGUAACACUCUUUUGAGGAAGAAGCAGCAGCCAGAAAGAAAGCCUUGACAUUUUCUAAGGGCAGGGAGCAGAAGUGACCUCUUUUGGACAGCCUCGAGAUUCCCUAAAUACUUGUGUCCUUAUUGAUUGGCUUAUCCUAGGGCUGAGGUCUUUCCUCUUCUGACCCUGGAGUGCGAUGCAGUUUGGUGAGUCAUAUGUACCUUCUUUCUUUCUCUGGGGCCCAGGAGCCCUGGGAGAAUAGGUAGAUGAGGGGUUUCCUUUGUGGCGGUUAAUGAACCCAAGUAGGAUCCAUGAGGAUGUGGGUUCAAUCCCUGGCCUCCCUCAGAGGGUUAAGGAUCCAGCAUUGCCAUGAGCUGUGGUGUAGGUCACAGAUGCGGCUCGCAUCCUGUGUUGCUGUGGUUGUGGCUUAGGCCGGCAGCUGUAGCUCUGAUUUGACUCCUUGACUCCGGGAACUUCCAUAUGCCGCAAGUGUGGCCCUAAAAAAGCAAAAAAAAAAAAAAAAAAAAAAACAGAUGAGCUGUGAAUGGAGAAUUCCCUACAAAUAUAGGAGAAGCCACCCUCCUGCAGGAGUAAGCUGGUCCCUCGUGGGAGCUCUUGGACCUCCAGUGGGAUAACUUAUGGAAGGCUGCAGCGGGAGGGUAGGGCAGGGUAGAAAAGUGGUUGGAGCCUCUUGCAUGUAAAGAGCUUCUUCUCAAGAGCCUGCCCAGGCCCCUUCUGCCCCUCCAAAGGCAUCCUCAGGGCUGCUGCUUUUGAUCACUGCUUACUGCUCUAGAGGCAUACACCUGAAACUGACAACACUAAUGGCCUGAACCUAGCCAGAACCCAGAUUGGGACUUGAACCCACGUUUUAGAUUAGAAUCACUCACCCAGUGUCUGGACUCACUGCGGUUCAGGUUCUUCUGCCUCCAUGCAGAAGGAAUUCAGUGAGAGGCGAAGUGAUAGGCAAGAAAUAAAUUUAUUAAGCUAGGAUACUUGUGUGAGAUGCAAGCAGGCAGGCAAGGAGGCUCUGCUUUCCCCACCCCCAAUUCAGUGGGCUACAGUUUUAUCAUCCAAGGUGAGUGGGGGAAAAGACAGCCUCUUCCUCUUUCUUCGAGUAGUAGCCCCUCCUUAGUAUCUGCUAAGAUGUGUAUUCAAAUCAGCAGAAGGGUGAUCCUCAAACUCCUGCCUGAAUCCGAAUGCAGGCCUCACCCCAUCCCCCACCCAAUGACCUGUGGCAUAUCUCACACCUCCACUAGUCCAGCAAGCCUGUCUUGUUCUGAUGGUCCUCCUGAGCAGUUACUAACUUACAGUGAUCUCCCAAAGUCCCUUAGGUUCCCCUCUCUGUCUGUUGUCCCUUAUUGGGACUUCUGCAACUACCUGUGCCUACUCCAUCCCUAUCACAACACUGGCUGCAUUCCUCUCCUUAUAGCACAGGAACCCAGCGCCGGAUCUGUGUGUAGGAGUCCCACAGUUAGAGAGGGGCCCCUGAGAGGCUUGUGGGAUUUUCCUGGCCAGAAAGAUGGUGGCCGCAAUGGAGGGAGUCCAGUUAAAUGGCCACGAUCCACUGUCUUGCAGGCAAGAGUGUACAACACACACCCAGUAGGGCUUAGGUAGCCGGAAACGUGGCAGCUCCAUACCCCCAAAGUGAAUUUUAAAGUCGACUUAUUUAUACCAUUGUCAUAGCAACAGGAAAACUCUUCUGACCUAUAGCCAUGAAAGGCUCUGUAAAAGAAACUGUAGAAGGAAAAAAAAA